GACGAACGCUGGCGGCGUGCCUAAUACAUGCAAGUCGAACGCAGUGGGGACGGGUGAGUAACACGUGGGUAACCUCCCAUCAGAGGGGAUAACACUUGGAAACAGGUGCUAAACCCAUACUGGUGGAUGGACCCGCGGGGCAUUAGCUAGUUGGUGGGGUAACGGCUCACCAAGGCCACGAUGCAUAGCCGGCCUGAGAGGAUGAUCGGCCACACUGGGACUGAGACACGGCCCAGACUCCUACGGGAGGCAGCAGUAGGGAAUAUUCCGCAAUGGACGAAAGCCUGACCGAGCCACGCCGCGUGAAUGAAGAAGGUUUUCGGAUCGUAAAGCACUGUUGUUGGAGAGGCGUUAUCUAACGAGAAAGCAACGGCUAACUACGUGCCAGCAGCCGCGGUAAUAC
rnacentral:rRNA from 1 species